CUCUACUGGUCAGAGACCAGAAGAGCUUAUGCGAUAGUAAUGCGUCCGUCGUCCGUCCGUCUGUCUGUCUAUUUCAAUAUAACUUGGCACACAAGUAGACUACAUUAAGAUACAUAAUUCUGUGUAUCGCUUUUUGAUUUCAAUGAACGGUGUUGCCGUUGUUACUAAAAAUAGAAAAAUUUGUGAAAAUCAUUCAAAAUGCUACUCCUCCUACAGUUUUAAUCUGAUUUCAGUAUAACUUGGCACACAAGUAGACUACACUAAGAUACAUUAUUCUGUGUAUCGCUUUUUGAUUUCAAUGAACGGUGUUGCCGUUGUUACUAAAAAUAGAAAAAUUUGUGAAAAUCAUUCAAAAUGCUACUCCUCCGACAGUUUUAAUCUGAUUUCAGUAUAACUUGGCAUACAAGUAGACUACACAAAGAUACAUAAUUUUGUUUAUCGGUUUUUGAUUUCAAUGAACGGUGUUGCCGUUGUUACUAAGAAUAGAUUUUUUUGUGAAAAUCAUUCAAAUUGCUACUCUUCCUACAGUUUUGGUCUGAUUUCAAUAUAACUUGGCACACAAGUAGACUACACUAAGAUACAUAAUUCUGUAUAUUGGUUUUUGAUUUCAAAGAACGGUGUUGCCGUUGUUACUAAAAGAAGAAAUUUCUGUGAAAAACAUUCAAAAUGCUACUCCUUGUACAGUUUUGGUCUGAUUUCAAUGUAACUUGGCACACAAGUAGACUACACUAAGAUACAUAAUUCUGUAUAUAGGUUUUUGUUUCAAUGAACGGUGUUGCUGUUGUUACUUAAAAAAAAGAAAUUUCUUUGAAAUACAUUUAAAAUGCUACUCCUCCUACAGUUUUGGUCUGAUUUUAAUAUAACUUGGCACACAAGUAGACUACACUAAGAUACAUAAUUCUGUGUAUCGGUAUUUGUCAUUAUUCUAUUUAUUGCUUUUGUAAAGUUUUAUAUCCCAACUGCUACUUUUCUCUUUCUUUAUUAUAAGUACAAACCAGUAGAGCUUCAGUCUCGACAGAGACUUCUGGUUUUCAAUAACAAUAAA